rnacentral:rRNA from 1 species
UACAGAGGAUGCAAGCGUUAUCCGGAAUGAUUGGGCGUAAAGCGUCUGUAGGUGGCUUUUUAAGUCCGCCGUCAAAUCCCAGGGCUCAACUCUGGACAGGCGGUGGAAACUACCAAGCUGGAGUACGGUAGGGGAGAAUGGAAUUCCCGGUGUAGCGGUGAAAUGCGCAGAUGUCGGGAGGAACACCGGUGGCGAAGGCGGUUCUCUGGGCCUUACCUGACGCUGAGGAGCGAAAGCGUGGGGAGCGAACAGG